rnacentral:rRNA from 1 species
UAGGGAAUUUUCGUCAAUGGGCGCAAGCCUGAACGAGCGAUGCCGCGUGAGUGAAGAAGGCCUUCGGUCGUAAAGCUCUGUUGCGGGGGAAAAAGGCAGCAUCAGGAAAUGGGUGCUGACUGAUGGUGCCCCGCCAGAAAGUCACGGCUAACUACGUGCC